rnacentral:rRNA from 1 species
AUUGAACGCUGGCGGCAGGCCUAACACAUGCAAGUCGAGCGGAUGAGUGGAGCUUGCUCCAUGAUUCAGCGGCGGACGGGUGAGUAAUGCCUAAGAAUCUGCCUGGUAGUGGGGGACAACGUUUCGAAAGGAACGCUAAUACCGCAUACGUCCUACGGGAGAAAGUGGGGGAUCUUCGGACCUCACGCUAUCAGAUGAGCCUAGGUCGGAUUAGCUAGUUGGUGAGGUAAAGGCUCACCAAGGCGACGAUCCGUAACUGGGCUGAGAGGAUGAUCAGUCACACUGGAACUGAGACACGGUCCAGACUCCUACGGGAGGCAGCAGUGGGGAAUAUUGGACAAUGGGCGAAAGCCUGAUCCAGCCAUGCCGCGUGUGUGAAGAAGGUCUUCGGAUUGUAAAGCACUUUAAGUUGGGAGGAAGGGCAGUAAGUUAAUACCUUGCUGUUUUGACGUUACCAACAGAAUAAGCACCGGCUAACUUCGUGCCAGCAGCCGCCGUAACAC